rnacentral:rRNA from 1 species
UACGGGGGGGGCAAGCGUUGUUCGGAAUUACUGGGCGUAAAGGGCGCGUAGGCGGCCUGCUAAGUCGGAUGUGAAAUCCCUCGGCUCAACCGAGGAACUGCAUCCGAUACUGGCGACCUAGAGUCCGGAAGAGGUUAGUGGAAUUCCCAGUGUAGAGGUGAAAUUCGUAGAUAUUGGGAAGAACACCAGUGGCGAAGGCGGCUAACUGGUCCGGUACUGACGCUGAGGUGCGAAAGCGUGGGGAGCAAACAGG